GACGAACGCUGGCGGCGUGCUUAACACAUGCAAGUCGAACGGGAUUUAGUAAACGGAAGCCUCGGUGGAAGAUUACUAAUGAGAGUGGCGAACGGGUGAGUAACGCGUGAGCAACCUGCCUAUGACAGUGGGAUAGCCUCGGUAAACCGGGAUUAAUACCGCAUAAAAUCGUAGAAACACAUGUUUCAACGGUCAAAGAUUUAUCGGUCAUAGAUGGGCUCGCGUCUGAUUAGCUAGUUGGUGAGAUAACAGCCCACCAAGGCGACGAUCAGUAGCCGGUCUGAGAGGAUGAACGGCCACAUUGGAACUGAGACACGGUCCAAACUCCUACGGGAGGCAGCAGUGGGGAAUAUUGCACAAUGGGGGAAACCCUGAUGCAGCGACGCCGCGUGAACGAAGAAGGUAUUCGUAUCGUAAAGUUCUGUCCUAUGGGAAGAUAAUGGCAGCACCAUAGAAGAAAGCUCCGGCUAAAUACGUG
rnacentral:rRNA from 1 species